AUGAACGCUGGCGGCGUGCCUAAUCCAUGCAAGUCGAGCGAACAGACGAGGAGCUUGCUCCUCUGACGUUAGCGGCGGACGGGUGAGUAACACGUGGAUAACCUACCUAUAAGACUGGGAUAACUUCGGGAAACCGGAGCUAAUACCGGAUAAUAUAUUGAACCGCAUGGUUCAAUAGUGAAAGACGGUUUUGCUGUCACUUAUAGAUGGAUCCGCGCCGCAUUAGCUAGUUGGUAAGGUAACGGCUUACCAAGGCAACGAUGCGUAGCCGACCUGAGAGGGUGAUCGGCCACACUGGAACUGAGACACGGUCCAGACUCCUACGGGAGGCAGCAGUAGGGAAUCUUCCGCAAUGGGCGAAAGCCUGACGGAGCAACGCCGCGUGAGUGAUGAAGGUCUUCGGAUCGUAAAACUCUGUUAUUAGGGAAGAGCAAAUGUGUAAGUAACUAUGCACGUCUUGACGGUACCUAAUCAGAAAGCCACGGCUAACUACGUG
rnacentral:rRNA from 1 species